CUACGGGUGGCAGCAGUAAGGGAUAUUGCGCAAUGGAGGAAACUCUGACGCAGCCAUGCCGCGUGAGUGAAGAAGGCCUUCGGGUUGUAAAACUCUUUCAGAUGUGAAGAUGAUGACGGUAACAUCAGAAGAAGCUCCGGCUAACUUCGUGCCGGCAGCCGCGGUAAUACGAAGGGGGCGAGCGUUGUUCGGAAUCACUGGGCUUAAAGCGUGCGUAGGCGGUCAUCCAAGUCAGGAGUGAAAUCCCGGGGCGCAACCCCGGAACUGCUUUUGAAACUGGACGACUGGAAUCCCGGAGAGGUGAGGAGAAUUCCGAGUGUAGAGGUGAAAUUCGCAGAUAUUCGGAGGAAUACCAGUGGCGUAGGCGCCUAACUGGACGGGUAUUGACGCUGAGGCACGAAAGCGUGGGGAGCAAACAGGAUUAGAUACCCGGGUAGUC
rnacentral:rRNA from 1 species